AACGUAGGUGGCGAGCGUUAUCCGGAUUUACUGGGCGUAAAGCGUGCGCAGGCGGCGCGUUAAGACAGGUGUGAAAGCCCCGAGCUUAACUUGGGAAUUGCGCUUGUGACUGGCGAGCUGGAGUGUGGCAGAGGGAGGUGGAAUUCCACGUGUAGCAGUGAAAUGCGUAGAGAUGUGGAGGAACACCGAUGGCGAAGGCAGCCUCCUGGGCCAGCACUGACGCUCAUGCACGAAAGCGUGGGGAGCAAACAGG
rnacentral:rRNA from 1 species